UAGAAGCCAAAUGACUGGGAUCAUCAACUCCAGUGACAGAGCUGCAUGUCUUUGUAGCAGUGUUGCAGAAAUGAGCAUGGAGAGGGAAUAGGAAAGGGGAGAGAGGUGUCUUUGUGGCAACAAUGAGUGACUCGUCUCUAGUUAUCGCCUGGUUGCUGGGUUUUUCCCCCUGCACUUUCUUUUGCAGUUGAAAGGAAGAUAAUUGUUUGAAAAUUAUUAAUAAAUCCUCCUUUUUUUUUCUUCUCUUUUUCACCCUUCCUCCCAUCCCCCUUGAUGUGGCCUCUUGUUUAGCUUGUGGCGUGACCAUGAUGAAGAAAUUUUUCUGGGAGCCUGGCAGUGUGAUCUUUUUAUGUAAUGAGUCAGGAUUUUGCCAAGGGAAGGAGCAAGGUUUGAGGAUUGAGGGUCUGUCUCCUUUCAAGAAGAAAACUGACAGGCGAGAUGCACCUUUUUCCCAGGAUCCUUUUUUCCCCUCCCCACCUCACAGGAACGACAAGUGAUUUGAAAACCAGGAAGCUGAAGAGAAAAGGAGAAGCUUCGGACACUGGAGGUUCCAAGUUAGGCCAUGCGACAGUAAGAAGGAACUGAAAAGGUACCUCUAGGAAUUCUGGAUUUUCUGUUGUUGCAUUAAAUGUUGAGAGGUGCAUGGAUUCAGCGGUGACAUAGUUGUUUCAGGACUUGGAAUGAUGUGCUAAAAUCAGGUUAUAGGACAAGACUCUUCACAAAGAAAGCUGCACACUGGAUUUUGGACAAUUAACAUUUCAAUUUUUCCCCGGAAUACAAAGUUGUUGUUUGAAGCCAGAAAUGCUUUCUCUGUGCCAACACCACCUCUUGUUGGCUUUGUGCACCAUCCAGAAUUAAAGUACAAGAAAGUUACACCUCAUGAAUUAAUGGGAACAAUACACAACAAGAUUGAUAAAUUUGGUGUGUGUCACACAGUGUUUACAUUUAAGAUGCAAAAAUUUUUAAGUGUGGGAAAGAGAAAUGCCUGCACAGCAGCUCUUUAGGGAAUAGCAGGCUGUGAGUUUAACAGAUUUCCAUUCUGACUGCUGAUAGAAGCACUGUGUUUAGUAUAUACACCCAAAAGGUGUGUGUGAGGGGGGAGAGAACAGUUCUGCUUGCAAAUUUGGCAUAGCUGAGAUUGAGACAAGCAGCAAAUAAAAAACAAGUGUGCAAACAAAAUGAAAGAAUCAAAACCAAAGCUCUAGAUAAUUUUCAAGUAGAUUGGUUUUGAUAAACUAAUCUAUUUAGAAAUUAUUUUGUUUAAGCUUGUUGGGGAAAAUUGUUCAACUGAAAACCUAUGUAAUGAUUUCUAAUUGUAUAUAUCCAAAACAAUUCAAGUUAACACAUGAAUAUAGUAAGCUAUUAAAUCUCAAGUUACAAAUGUGAAACUAUUUUGGCAACUGUAGGAGCUUUCAUAGUUAUAACAUUUCAAAUAAGAGUAUUUUCCCAGGAGGUGAAACUGACAUCUGUUACAAUUAUGGAGAGAAACACCCCCCCCAACUCUCUUUUGUUUAUAACCUACAAACUAAAAAAUGUGUGUGUAUGUGUGUAUCUCUGUUUCUUUGU